GACGAACGCUGGCGGCAGGCUUAACACAUGCAAGUCGAACGCAUCCUUCGGGGUGAGUGGCAGACGGGUGAGUAACGCGUGGGAACGUGCCCUUCAGUUCGGGAUAACCCAGGGAAACUUGGGCUAAUACCGGAUACGUGCGAGAGCAGAAAGAUUUAUCGCUGAAGGAUCGGCCCGCGUCUGAUUAGCUAGUUGGUGGGGUAAUGGCCCACCAAGGCGACGAUCAGUAGCUGGUCUGAGAGGAUGAUCAGCCACAUUGGGACUGAGACACGGCCCAAGCUCCUACGGGAGGCAGCAGUGGGGAAUAUUGGACAAUGGGCGCAAGCCUGAUCCAGCCAUGCCGCGUGAGUGAUGAAGGCCUUAGGGUUGUAAAGCUCUUUCGUCCGGGACGAUAAUGACGGUACCGGAAGAAGAAGCCCCGGCUAACUUCGUGCCAGCCGCCGCGGUAAGAC
rnacentral:rRNA from 1 species